CAGGUCACUGGAGCAGUCCUGGCCUCUGACAGGCUGCGUGCGAUCCACCUGCUCAAGACCCAACGGCCUGGAAUGUUGGCCAUCUCCAAAGCAGGGGUUAGAUACCCGACCUGAUGGAUGGAGGGCCAGUUGACUGAAAGUGCUUGGAAUUGCACCAGCCAGCAAGAGUGGGCUGCAGAAUUGGAACCAGGAGCGCUGGGGAAAGUACUGAUGGAGAUAACUGAAACAUGUGGUAGUAACAGAACCAGGACCUCAAAUCCAGGUUUGCUGACUCUUGGCCAUGGAAGACUGCUUCCCUGAGACAGCUGGCAGGACGAGGGACAGGGAAGCUUGCCCAACUGAGUGGCUUCCACUUUCUCUCCCUGGACUCCCCCUCCCCCAUCAAAUGUUUCUUCGCUGAGCGAAAACAGCAGAAGUAAUACGGCUACAAAUCAAGAGAAGCCCUGCUUCUGAAUCUGCCUGUGUCCACCUG
rnacentral:lncRNA from 1 species